GCUGACAGCAGAGUUCACCUGUAAUGAAAAGCUUUUUCUUUUUUUCCCCAGAAAUGCAUCUCACUCUCCUCUCUUUCUGUCUUCUACUGCAGGGCCAUUAUUUUUACGUGCUUGGGAAAUUUCUGUUACUGUUUGGGAAAAGGGACUUCUCCCAAGUGAAGGGGAUCUGACUUGAAGCAAGAGAAGAGAAGCAAAACCUCUGUGUCAACACCCCAGAGACCAUCUAGAGACUCAGCUUUACUUAUGAAGACAGGAAAGAAAUGCAAAUAAUUGAGAGUCCAUGGAGCCAACAUGUGUGUUCCUGCAGCAACACUCAGUCCUCAUCCUGCCCAGGGAUGUGCAAAGAACAGACAGAGGUUGGAGUUGCUGCUGUGUGAGAAAGAGACCCAGGUUCUGUGCAAGGUGGUGCUCACACUUGUGCUGGAGCUAUCCUUUGGAGCUUGCACAGUUCUGUGCCUGACUCAUGCUUCUCCAGCAGGCUCCAUGCAGCACUGCCCCCAGCCCUGCAAAGCUCAGAGCACUGGUGCUGCUCCCCUUGCCCUGAGGGUCCUACUCCCAGCCAGGACUGAUCUCCUGUGAGGAUGAGUGAAUGACUCUGCCUCCUUGUUCCAGCAGUCUCAACUUCGCCAGGAGCAUUCAGUGUGCACAGAGUAAAUACUUCCAAGACCACCCAUCUACCCUCCCUGUGGGCAGCUGUACAGGAAUGUUGCUGUGUAGAAGACAAGAGGAGCAGCUGGUACCUGCAGGAUUAGCAAAAUUCACCUUUCCACUCAAUUUCCACAUGGAUCCCACAGGAACAGGCACUCCUCACCCAGUAACUGCUGAAAGAGAGCCCAGGGGAACAACAGUGAGCCGGGGUGAUGCCAUGGGGAUGGGGAUGUGUGUUUCUAACGUGGUAAUCCCAGCUCAAGACCCACCUCCGAGAUCUCCAUGCCCCAGUAAAGCUCAUAUUAAAGCAUGGAGGCCUGAUUUCCUUCCAUGAAGUAAUGGGAUGAAACAGGAAAAAUAAGGCUGUUUGUGGAAACAAGCUUCAUCCCAAGUGGUCUGCAAUGUCCUGGUAAGUUUUCUUCCCAUUUCACAGUGCAAGCUUGGGAUGCCCACACACAACAACAAAGGAUGUGGGGAGGGAAUCCUGACAUCAGCCUGAACAACAAGGGCUUGGAAAGACUCUUGCACUCUUAGAGAUCCUCCCUGAUUCCAGGGCUAGCACCUGGCAAGGCCAUUCAAGAUAAAAAUAAGAAUUUUUGAUAUUUGUCAGGAGCAAAAUGAGCUUGGGCAGUUUGCAGAGCAUCAAUGCAGACUAUAAUGCCUCUGUGUCCAUUGGCUUCCCAAUGAGCUGUGGGUGUUCUCAUGUCUUGUCCCUCCCUGGGACUGGCAGGUGCCUGUCCCAGCUGGGUGAGCAGUAUCCCAUGGUGCUGGUCACGGUCUGGGCUGCUCCUCUUGCAUGCCAGGGGAUGGUGCUGAGCAGCUCCGGCAUUUCCCAGGCACAGGGGCAGGACCGUGGGCAGCUGCUGGUGCUCAGAGCAGGGCACCUCGUGGCAGGGCUGCUCUGCUGGCAUGCAGCCCUUCCAGGAGUUUCCUCUGUAAAUAUUAGUACAUUCCUAUAUCCAAGUUUAUGAGAUCAUUUACAGGAGGUUCCUUUCUGGCAGAGGUUUUCAAACACGUGGCCCCAGGCCAGCAGCCGGGGAGGUGUGAGCGUGCUGGGGUGCAGGACCUGCCUGCACUCGCUGCCCGUGUGUGCGAUGUGGCUGUGGGGAACAGCUCACUCCCAGGUGAUGGAUUUGUUUUUCCGGAGGGAAAAAGUCUGGGCUGUGUGGCAGCAUCCAUGCCAUGCUGGGGCGCAGAAGCUGGACACUCAAGGCCUUGGUAGCUCCGCAUGUUCCAGGAGAUGCCAUCUUGACUGUGACCUCCCCUUCAGACUCCAGCAAAACCUCUGGAAAAUGCUGCAGAGACCCUGGCUGAGCUCAUAUGACCUCUCCUUGUGGGUCUUGUGAGCCUGGUCCUGUCUCCUGAAGAUCCUUUGGGUCAUUGUCCUGUCUGUCUCUCCCAGGGGUUUGAGCAGGGUUAGGUGGUGCUGGGUUCAUACCCAGCUGGAGGCUGGAGCCCCACUCUGUGUUCAUCCAGCCUCAGGAGACUCAUCCUCAUCCAUCCCCCAGCACUUGUGUUGGGCAAGUGAUGGGAGACAGUGUUUGUAAUUAGACUAUAAACUGCUUGUCAUUAAAACAACAAUAGUGAGAGGAAAGGUUAAGUUUGGGGAAAAGCCACGUGUGUGCUUGCAGUUUAAAGUAAAUAAAGGCUGACUUGGCUCCUCCCAGCCCUUCCUUCUAAUCGGAUAGGAGCCUGGCAGAUCCCAGUCAUAUUCCAGUAAAUGUCCAGGAUAUGGUGUACUGGACCGAGAGCCAAAGGGAAGAGCCUGGUCCUGCUGCCCGCAGAGCCCCCGGGAACUUUGCUGUGUGGCUGGUCCAGCUCUCCUGGGCAUCGGGUUAAAAAAACCCGCUGAAGAGUUUUUGGCAGUGCAAGAGCUCAAAAAGCAUAAAACUUCCCAAUGACUCCUUGGUAGGACAAAUGGUGCAUCUGUGGGGGCAGUUCCUCCCAGCAGCAGGUCCCCAAAGUCCCAUGGGGCCACCAACAUCACCGACUGCAGGGAUGGGGACAGGUGAGAUGAGACCCUGGCCAUGGAUGACCUGUUAAAUUGCUGUGGCAAACAGAUGCAAAUGCAGAGAUAGCACAGAAUUCCAAGUGAUAGCUUUGUGUGUGGGAUGCCAGGCUGCCCUAAGCCCUUUCUGCCAGCUCCCUGUGCGACCCAGCCCUGCUGUGUCAUUGCUGCCUCCCCUGUGUCUGCCUGCCUUUCAUGAGGUAAUGACCAGUGACAGAUUUAAUACUUCGUAUAUCUAUUUAUGUACUUUAUAUCUGUACUUUUAUAUCACACGUACUUUGCCUCCCCUGCUCUGCCUAUGGGCUAUGGAUGUGUGACUCCUGGAAAGUUUGUUACCACCAGGAUUAAAGAAACCUUGGUCCAGUGCCCAUCUUCCCCAGCUGCCCCCAUCCUAGCUGAUGAAAUCAUAGGAGCAAGGAGGUCACCAAGAAGACCCAUAGGGUUUGCUUACUGUGCUCGUCGCUUCGGUCCCUGGUCCCAUCCACUGUGCCAUCCGGGAGGAUCCGUAGGAAGUGACCCCCGUUGCUGCAGUACAGGAGUUUGGGUUUCUUGUAGUUCCCCGGGGGCAGGUUGAACUUCUCGGUCAGGGCAGUGAAGGUGGUGAUUUCUCCCUCGGCCAUCCUGCAGCCUCUCCCACCACCGAGCUGCAAGAGAUGUGGCAGCAAGGGUGGCACCAAGUGCUGGGCACACGCUGCUGCUCCUGGGCUUUAAAGGGAAGGGGGGGAGCCCGGGGGUCCUUGCUGGUCCCUGGGCUGGCUGCAGGGCAGGUGAUUCACAGCGGUGAUGGCUCCGGCAGUGACACAAAGUGACACAAAGUGACACAAAGGUGAUGCUCCUCCAGCGUGGGAGGUGGCGGGGGGCUGUCUCCUCACUGGGAGGGACUCUGUCCUUUUAAUUUUAUCAUAGUGAAUUCUGUUUUUGUUCUGCUUUCUAUUGACGUAUGUACUAAAAUUAUACACUCAAAAACCAAUUUGAAAAACACCCAGUGUCUGAUUGGAACCCACAAGAGGCGGGAAGGGAGCCCAGGUAAUAACUUUCUCCACUACUAUGACUCUCAAACACAAUUAUGACCAGGAAUUGCAACACCCACUGCAUGCCAGGUAGUAAAUAUUGCUCAUAUCUUGGCACUCAGUGGCUCACCUGGCCCGGGAACACACACACGGAAAAGGUCAGAACACACAUUAGACGUGGUGGGAGAUGAGCAGGGGGCAGGACUGUUCACUGCCUGGGGGUGAGUCCGAGGAUUACCCAGACAGUGAUUAAGACCAUAUGAAAACCAAGAACUGUGAGUCUAGAUUAUGCCACAAAUAUACCAGAAGCAUUCCGGUGUUUAAAGGGGCUACAGGAGAGCUGGAGAGGAACUUGACAAGGACCUGGAGUGACAGGACAAGGGGGAAUGGCUUCCCACUGACAGAGGCAGGGUUAGAUUGGAUAUUGAGAAGAAAUUCUUCCCUGGCACAGGUUGCCCAGAGAAGCUGUGGCUGCCCCAUCCCUGGAAGUGUUCAAGGCCAGGUUGGACAGGGAUUAGAGCAAUCUGGUCUAGUGGAAAAUCAUAUUGAAACCUCAUUUUGCAGGAGACUGUAUGGUCAUGAUCCAUGUUUCAGCAGACACUGUGCAAAAACCUGAAGGCAUCAGAUUGAUAAGAGGAAGAUGCUGUGGAUGUCUGAGGGCGAGAACUGCCCUCACAGCUGUGCCAUCAGGAGGUGACAUGGGAGAUGACUAGAGUCCCACACACAUUCCAGAUAUAAAAUACCUGGCUACUAUGCGGAGGAAAGCAGAAGUAUCUCACAUACUGGGUUAAACCGGAUUGGCGCUUGACUCAAAUACUUGUCCUUGGCUUUGGACACAAGCAUUUAUAUGGGGUUGGAAAGAAAUGUUCUGUAUGGUCUCUGUGUGGCUACAGUGAUGAAGAGUGCAGUUAAUCACAAUUGUCAUUUAGAUGAUCAGCUAAAGAUCAUGCAGAGAACUUCGAGGAGUACUCCAGAGAGAUGAGAGACUGCUAAAUCCAGGAGUCUCCUAAGGUUCAGUUAACGAGAUCAGCGUCCCCUGAACCCAGCUCUGGUGAGUUCAGUGAAAGCACUCCAGUUGGUUUACUCUGGAAAGUGUUAUUUUAUCCAUUAAAGUAGAAAUCCUGUUUCUACCAGGGUAUGUGACUCAGCUGGGAUCAGACAGCAACACCUCCUGAUAGGCUCCUUUCCCAUUCCCACUUCUGACUACAGCCACCUGGAUAGAACAGUAACUUCUCAGGCAGUUCAGACACUUCAUGUGGGAAUCAAAAGCACUUACAACAGGUAGAAUAUUUUUAAGGAAUUCAGGCUGUGGCUUUCCUCCACCCACUGUCUGUCCUGAGGGUUUCCAAAGCAGCCUAUGGGCUGCCCAUUACGGCUUUGGGGCAAUCUGAGAACACCUGGGCAUGUGGAAUAAACACCUCUUGGAUAAACAAUGAUUUUAUUAAUCAUAAGUUUUAGAGAUCCACUGCAUGGGAUAGAUUUCCUCACCCAGGAAAAGAUUAGAGACCAGGCAGAGGUUUCCUCCUGCUCUGGUUGCUGCAGGAGAGGCAGCAUGGUAGGUCUGGUGUUCCCAUCCCAAGGGCUGGUGGUGCAAGGCACAACUUAAAUUCCUUGGACUAUGCAUCCUCUUAGAGUGACUUAAUAAAUGAUUAGGCAAAGCAUACAAUAAAUAUGUAAUAGAUCAUUUUGUGUGUAUCAGCAGAAUGCAUUGGCUCGUUUCUGGUCUUGCUUAUGGCCAGGUGAUUUUAUCUCUAGCAAUGUGAUUAACUGCUCAAUGAAAUAUUUAUCAGCCAGGUUUUGCCCUUUGGAGGUGGAAUAUGUUGCAUGAAGUGUGACCAAAAGUGUAGAAAUCAAUUUAACUAAUGCCUGCUGUCAUCAUCUCCUGCUUUCUACCAGGAAACACGGUCAUUCCACUCAGGUCACACUGGAUUUGUGGCAGGUCAAACAGGUAGGAGUGAAACUUUUAGCAUUUUACUGAGUUUGUGUCACUAAUGGCUGAUGGCAAACACCAGGAGCAUCAUGGUAAAGAUAGAUUAGGUAAAGGUGGCAUCCUGCCUGGGAGGUAGGGACAGGGGUCAACCCAUCCCAGGUGAAGGGAGAAAAUCCUGUGCCUGUAGGGAUGCCCAGGGGAAAGCCCUGUAUCCUGCCUUGGAGCCUGGUGUGACUUAUGCAGGGCUGUGAGCCCGGGACACCCCAGAUGCUGCCUCACACUGGGACAGCCAGUACAACAUCCCAGCAAACUGGUGGUGUUUGUGGGGAGACAGGAAAACCAAGAGAUGACCCACUUUCUAAUUACCUUCCCGCCUCUCCCACCUCCCCACCCACGGCCCUUUGCAAUCCGGUGAUUAACUUAAUUGCAGUUCCAGCUCCAGGAGUCAAUCCAGCCUGGGAGCAGGAGCUUUGCCAGGAAGGUCUUGCCCCUCUGUUCUGUCUGGAUUCAGACCAAGAGCACGGACACGUAGACGAGCAGCACUGGCUGCAGACACAAAUCCCACCACCUCAUGUUGGGGAUUUGAGCCCAGACUCCCAGUGCAAGCCGGAUGCGUGGGACCUGCUGGAUUGAAAGAACACACUGGACAGAGAAUUGCCAAAGCUCAGUCCCUCCAGCCAAGGAUGGGCUGGAGGAUGUGCAGCUCCCAGAGGAUGAGGGGACACCUCCAGAAGAGGCAAUGCCAUUGCUCAGUUAUGAGGAGGGGUGGCUGUGGCUCCCCUGUGAAUGCUGGUAUUGGUCCUCCCUCAGACCAGGGUCUGAGCAGAGAUUGCUGUCCAGGGCUGGGCUGCCAGGGCCGGCACUGCAGCCGUGGCUGUGACUGUGACCACUGUGCAGGAAACUGGCAGGAGGUGACAGCUGGGAGCAGCCCAGCUACACCCAGUGCUUCCCACCUCAUCCUAGGGGAUUUGCCGAGGGCGUGUCUGGCUCUGCUACACUGCAACAGGUGUCCUAGUUACAAAAGGCAAUUAGUGGAGAAACUCCCAGGGUUCCUCCUUCCUCCAGGAGGUGGCAGGUGCUGUCUGCCCUUUAAAAGUGCCCUUUCCCUCUUGCAGGCUUGUGCUGAGACCAUUGUAAAACGUUAUCCCUCCUCCUAUGCUUUGCUGCCUCCUAGCACCUCAUUCUGGCACAUGGAACUGGCUGGGAGCAGCCACUGACGUGCUGUGAGUUACACCAUCGUUGUGGUCUCAUCUCUGUCACCCAGGGAGGGUGGCUCUGUGCUGCCAAAGCUGCCAAGGACCCAGGGACGACACACCAGGUGCAGGUACCUUGUUUUGGGUGUUUGCUAUCUUGGUUAAGGGCAGGGCUGUGGGCACCUUUCCUCCUUGGGUCUGCCUGUGCUUGGCUUCCCAGGGAAAAGUGUCUGGAGGGAGGGGAAACCACAGGAGAUGCUAUAACACCUUAUCAGUUGUUGGUUGUAAUGUUUUGUGAUGAGGUAGGAAGCCCCUGGGGGCAGGGGGCACUCAACGUGCCCCUUGGCUCCUGCUCAGCAGCCCUUAGGCUGGGGAGCUCCAAACAGUUGGGGUCCCUGCAGUGGGGUCCCAACCCACGCCCUGCCCAGAACCCACCACUCAGUUCCCGGCAGGCAGGAGGGAUGUUAAGCUGGAUGACACUUCACAGGGCUUUUAAAUGUCACCAUCCCCCUGCCACCCACCCCCGGUGUCAGUGCAGGACACUGGGCACAGUGUCAGACCACAAAGCCCUGACUGUCCUGUCUGGGCUGGCCCUGCAGGUGUGGCUGCCCUGCGCGCCCACGGAUGGACGGACAGAAGGAUGGACAGAUGACAGCAAAUGUCAGACUCUAGCCCCAAAACUUCCCUCUAUGCAGUACUCUUAACCCAAGGGGUGAUCUGGUUCUCCUGUUGUACCACGUCCUGUCUGAGCCCUCCAGUCCCACCCCAAGCCAAGCCUCCUGCCGAUGCCCCGCUCAGGUACGUGCCUGGUCACUGAGUGUCUGGGUCACCCUCCGUCAGCCGCGAGCCCUCGCCAACCCCUCGGCGCUCAGACGGGUCCGACACCUCCGUGUGCUGUUGCUUAUACUCAUGAGGAUGGAAUUAGGAGUGAAAAGGAGGAAUGCUCAUGCGGUGUCAGGCAGCACUUCCUGCAGCUGGCCAUCUGAAGGGUGGCCAAGCCCAGCUGAGGGUUGGCUCCAGCUUCAAAACUGGGAUUUGAGUUUGGGUUCAGCCUUUAUACCGUGUCCUUCCCCAAAGAAGUAGAGUAUGAUGGAAUCCAGGGUUUCAUCUCCAGGCCAAGUGAAACCCCACAUCCAUCCUAGUGGUUAACCAUCAGUAGACAUAUCAUCGCUCAGAAAUCCAACUUCCUUCAGCAGAGUCUCGGUCUGGGUUGUUCCAAGGAAAAUCACUUGGUUCCUGGGUUCACCAUAAGCUCAGCAGUGAUUUACUAUGAUAAUGUGCAGGGAGUUAAUGAUGUUCAUCCUGCAAUGUUUGUGUAAGGGCUGUACAGCUGCUCUUGUUAACUUCUAAGUAAGACUGGCUGGAAGAAUCCUGUUCUUAAUUCUGUUGCUCAAUACCUUAUUUUAAAUUCAGUGUCUAGUACCCAUGGAUGCUACCUCCUGUUUUUUUUUCCUCCAAGCUGUAUGAGUAAGGAGCUUGGGCUGUGUUUUCCUGUGCACACUGUUGCUCAAAAACUUAACAGUGCAAUAAAAGCUUGAGAUAAUAAUUGCUAUUACCAGGAAAAUCCUCCAAUAAAUAAUAAUUUUCUUAUCUGCAUGA